UAAUCAUCAAAAACAAAAUAUUGUGCAUUAUAUUGAAAAUGAAAACCCUAGGUAAGAAUUGGUGAAGAAAAAAAUGUGGAGAGAAAAUAAAUCAAAGCUCAAAGAGAGCAAAUCCAAAUCCCAUUUUCAGCUCAAAAAGUAGAAAUUUUGAUCAUAAAUAUCAAACAAACAAAUCCCACGUAUCAAAAAUAUUCAUCAAAGGAAUCAAAUUUCAGGAUGCCGCAUCUUCUCCUGCAGCAAAUUCAUCCCCAAUUCUACUUUUCGCCAUUGAAAUUCUCAUCUUCCUUACAAUCUUCACCAUUUCCCUCCCAAUUUCAAGCUUCCCGCCCAUGCUUUUACUCCCCAAGUUCUGUCAACCUUCUUCCUCCACCUCCGGUGAUGAGAGGUGCAACCAUACGGUGUAUGGCCAAUUCACGUAGGGUUAAAAUGGUGGCUAAGCAGAUUCAGAGGGAGCUUUCCGAUAUGCUUCUUACUGAUAAGGUGUUGCAGUUCGCCAUUCUUCCUGAGGCCUCUUUGGGAGCUGAUAAGUAUCUCUCCUCUCUCACUACCAUUACUGAUGUUGAAGUCUCUGCCGACUUGCAGGUGGUUAAAGUAUACGUAUCAGUCUUUGGUGAUGAAAAAGGAAAGGAUGUUGCUAUGGCCGGGUUGAAAUCUAAAGCAAAGUAUGUUCGAAGUGUAUUGGGAAAACGCAUGAAGCUGCGACUAACUCCUGAGAUUCGCUUUAUUGAAGAUGAAUCUUUUGAGAGAGGAAGCAGGGUAAUUGCCAUAUUGGAUCGAAUCAAGGACAAAAAGAAGGAUACCAUUGAUGAAGACUUCGAUGAACCUGAACUAUCUGAUGCUCUUGAUGACGACAGGGAUUGGAAAGGUGACGAUGCUGAUGAAGACAUAAUAUAUGUACAAUAGGUUAUUCCAUUUCUUGUCCAACAUAUGCUCAUCUAUCAUGAGGCAUCGGUUUGCUCUCACAGAGCAAGAAGUCAAAGUAAAGAUGCUUCAAUCACCAAGAAGUCAGAAUGAUGUUCUUCAAAGAUUCUCCUCUAAACCAUCCAAAAGACUAUCAUCCUUAAAGAUGGUAGAUAGAAAUGGCUUGUUUUCUCUUCCGAUUCAAUUGUUACCUACAUAGAGAUGAUGGUAUCAUAUUCAUAUGCUAAUUUCUACUCGAAUCGAAUUAAAAUAUUGAUGUCAAGAAGAAAAGUCAUUUCCUAUUAUUAUUUAUCAUGAUUUGACUUUAUAUAAUAUAUAUAUAUACACACACUUUUUGUUGAUAUUCCCAAAAAAGAAAUGAAUAUAUUUGUCAUCAA